rnacentral:rRNA from 1 species
CUAUUGGCGGAAGCCUUGACGCAGCGACGCCGCUGGAAGGAAUGAAGUCUCGGAUCGUAACUCUGUUAGAGGGAAGAAACGUGCAGAUACACUCUGCAUAAUGACGGUACUCCAGAGAAAGCACUGCUACUCGUGCAGCAGCGCGGUAAUACGAAGGGUGCAAGCGUAUCGGAAUUACUGGGCGUAAAGCGUGCGCAGGCGGUUUGUAAGUCUGACGUGAAAUCCCCGGGCUCAACCUGGGAAUUGCGUUGGAGACUGCAAGGCUAGAAUCUGGCAGAGGGGGGUAGAAUUCCACGUGUAGCAGUGAAAUGCGUAGAGAUGUGGAGGAACACCGAUGGCGAAGGCAGCCCCCUGGGUCAAGAUUGACGCUCAUGCACGAAAGCGUGGGGAGCAAACAGGAUUAGAUACCCUGGUAGUCCACGCCCUAAACGAUGUCUACUAGUUGUCGGGUUUUAAUUAACUUGGUAACGCAGCUAACGCGUGAAGUAGACCGCCUGGGGAGUACGGUCGCAAGAUUAAAACUCAAAGGAAUUGACGGGGACCCGCACAAGCGGUGGAUGAUGUGGAUUAAUUCGAUGCAACGCGAAAAACCUUACCUACCCUUGACAUGUACGGAAGACCGAAGAGAUUUGGUUGUGCUCGAAAGAGAACCGUAACACAGGUGCUGCAUGGCUGUCGUCAGCUCGUGUCGUGAGAUGUUGGGUUAAGUCCCGCAACGAGCGCAACCCUUGUCAUUAGUUGCUACAUUCAGUUGAGCACUCUAAUGAGACUGCCGGUGACAAACCGGAGGAAGGUGGGGAUGACGUCAAGUCCUCAUGGCCCUUAUGGGUAGGGCUUCACACGUCAUACAAUGGUACAUACAGAGGGCCGCCAACCCGCGAGGGGGAGCUAAUCCCAGAAAGUGUAUCGUAGUCCGGAUCGCAGUCUGCAACUCGACUGCGUGAAGUUGGAAUCGCUAGUAAUCGCGGAUCAGCAUGUCGCGGUGAAUACGUUCCCGGGUCUUGUACACACCGCCCGUCACACCAUGGGAGCGGGUUUUACCAGAAGUAGGUAGCUUAACC